GGUGGGGCAGCUGGUGUUGUGAAUCAGGCCGUCGCCAAUCAGAGAACGGCUACUUCACAACACCAGGGUCACACCC
rnacentral:pre_miRNA from 8 species